UUUCUAAAAUUGUUUCCCAAAAAGAUUUCAUUUCCCGCAACUCCUCCUUCAUCUUCUCUGGUCUCUGGUCACUGCUUCCUUGAAACAUUUUCUCGCUUCUCUCUCCUUCCCCUCUCUGGUUUCUCAUCAUUUUCGCGCUUCCCCUCUCUGAUUUCUCUGCUCCUCCCCCUCUUUGGUUCUCAAUCUGGGCGUGAAAUUCAACACCCGCAGCACACACAGCAGGACUAGCCUCGUCGCCGCUAUUGUUCCCCCACCGCCGAAUUCGUCCAAUUCCUUCCGCCGUCGCGGCACACAUCUGUCACUCCUCCUUCUCUUAUAGCCUUGCUUCAGUUGAUUGAGGCUCACCAGCUGGCGGCAUUGACAGUGAGAGAUGAGCAGGAGAUGAUGAUGAGGAUCUGGGAACAACAGCAGCAGCAGCAGCAGCAGCAGCAAUAACAACAUCAGUUUUGAGGUUUCAUGAUAGAGGCAAUGGUGAAUACGAUGGACUGAGGGAGCGAUGGUUGUUGCCGGAGGCAUAGCUAGGUUUAACCAGGUGGGGUGUGCAUCAGCUGCUACAACAAUGUUUUUGUCUCUUGGAGUGACCACAUUUGAUCCUAACGCAUACAAUCAGAUGAGGUCUGCAUCUGCUGCUACAUCACCGUUUUGGCUCUUGGACUAACAAAGUUGAGAGGCAUGUUGCAGGUAUCAUCUCUGUAGCUUUCUGCUCAGGCCAGCAGGUUAUGUUCAGGUCAACUAGGUCCAUGGUACUAGUCUCCUGGUGGUCUCCAGAUCCAUGAUAUUUCGAACGGAGGUUCGAGAUAUUCUUCAGGUAAUUUAUUGACGAUUCUAUUGGCUUUUAUUCAAAUUUUUCAUCAUUUUUCUGAUUUUGGUGAUGUUGAUGUAUAUGAAAUUCGUUGUGGAAAUUAUUGCAGAAGAAUGAAGAAGCAACUCUUAGGUAUUAUUCUUUGGUCAAAGUAUUUGAUCAGUUACGUAGUUCAAAGUCUUUCGGAUUAGACCUUAUAUGUUAACUUUAGUAUAUAAUUUUGUAUAAGAGUUUCUUUAACAAAUAUUAUAUUUGAAUAUUAUGUCUAUUUUUAUUCUUAAAAUAAAUCAAUUUAUUAUUUUUCUUUCUUCUUCAUUAUCCGUAUUGUGCACUUUGAUCUGCACUUUUGAUCGAGACUGUUGUUGCUGCUUACUUCUCUACAACUUUGUGGCUUGUUUUGUUUGGUACUGUGUUCGUUGUCACGCACCACUGUCCUCUAGCCAAUUCAAGUCUAUCAGUCCUCUAGCCUCUAGUUAACUGAUCAGUAGCAGGUCACACUAGUAGAAAAAUAUUGAUUUGCUGCUACGCGCUAGCGCCGUUUAUUUGCUAACGCCUCCAAUUAAACGAUAAAUUAUUAAUUGGCGGCGUUAUAACACCACUAAUCCAUAAUAAUUAUUAAUCAGCGGCGUGUAAUGAUAUUUACGCCGCCAAACUCAUAAGGUAAAACCCUUGCCUUUCCUUUCCUUUCGUAUCCUUCAGUUGUCUUCUUCUUGCUUUUUUUGAGUGUCUGUAUCCUUCUCCCUUCUUCUUUCAUUCUUCUUCACCACCAAUUAUCUCCUCUUUAAUUGAUUUUGACUGAUCUCCACCGCCGUCGUCUCAAAACGGUACAGAUCGACUCAUCUCGACUGCGAAUCACAAAACUCUUCACACUCGUCUAUGAUCUACUGAAAUUAUGUGAAAAUCAGAGCAACUAUCUAAAAUCGUCGAUUCACGGGGUUGGUUCAAGUUUUCGGGUGACUGACACCAUUGUUUCAAGUUCUCCGGCCGUCGUGCUUAGUCUAGAAUUUCCAGCGGCGGCGAAUCUGGAGGAUGUGGGAGUUCAAACAGUCAUUAUAGAGUACACAAACUGGUGUUAUUUCUGGGCACUCACCUCUACACAACAUUAGGAGACAAUGGGAGCUAUCAUCUGAUCGAACUGCACAGUACCCAUCUACCAUGUUAUUGCCAGCUGACCAUGAUGAUCGUGUGGUGCCUUUGCACUCACUUAAAUAGUUGGCUGUGUGUUCUCUGAAACUGCUGCAGUGCAUGCUUUUUCUUGUCACUAAGUGAUACCAUGCCGCACACGCCUUUCCUUUCCUAAAAUAUGUACUGUAUUAUAUUGCAGACAUUGCAACAUGUUCCUUGCACAAGCUUGGAGAAUAGCCCUCAAAAGAAUCCAAUUAUUGAUAGAACUAAGUUUAAGGCUGGUCAUGGAGCAGGACGCCCAACUCAAAAGAUGGUUGGUACCCUAUAAUGCGAGUUCGUGUUGAAAACAUCAGGAAGGCUUGAACAUAACAGCAACGAAAGAUUGGACAAACUUCAGACUGUAAGCUUCAGUGGAGUGUAGUGUGGCCCAGAAUGAUGAUCUUGAUGGUAAAUAGAGUUUUAAUCUCGCAAUGCUGCAGGGUACUUACUUAAUUACCUAAGGUGGAAUAUGCAUCAAGUCUGACAGACAAAUAGGGAGGGCAGCAGACAAAACUUGAUUAUUUUGUUAGGUUUGCACGUCACUAAGUGGAGAGCGUUUCACCAAUGAGCAAAUUGAUGAAAUACGAGACAAAUGGGAAUCAUACUUCACCGAACAUUGUGUGUAAAUAACCUUUCAUCGAUCUCUUUUUGUGGAUGUUUCCUGCUAUUGAAGUCAUAUAUAAUUGCCUUAUUAUAUUUUUGGUGCAAAAUUGUAACGUACGAAGUGUAAAAGACAUGGUUACGUUCGACUUCAAACGUAACUAUUUAGUUGGUUUAUUUUUGUAAACAUAUGAUGGUGGUAUUAUAUGUAAAAAUCAAAGUUUAUUGGAAGUUAUUGGUGGUUGAUGAUA